AGCUCCCAAGUGCUAGGCAUGGAUGGCUCCCUUCACGUCUCCCUGUUAACACAUCACCUCCUGUCACCAUCCAAAGGUUUGUUCUUGCUAUCAAAUUCCCACAUGGGAAAAUGGAAAAGGGAGAAGAGCAUCUCAACACAAAGAAACAGCCCAGAUCAACCAGUUGCUGAGAGCUGAGCAGUGCGGAAUGCAUGCUGGACUGACUUGCCAUGGAGGAAGCUGAUUCAGGUAUCUGUGUGGGAAAGAUGAGGAAGGGUAGAGGUUGAGGAAGAAAAGAGGAAGAAAAACAUCCUCUCCAGACUGCUGCCAAGCUCCCUCUUUAUCCACCUUCUGAAGACAGUAUUCUACCUCACAUGGUAAAUUGAUGCUACAGACAAUAAGGACUAGUCUGCACUGGUUGCCUCUUAUGACAUGCCACAUUCUGGAAGGGAAGAGAUGCCUUAAGAAGUCAGAAGUCUGAGAGAGAGCAGUGCAAGCUGCCUGACUUGAGGGGUUAAGUCUCUCCUAAUAUACUCAAGCAUGUAUAUCCAUAUGUGGAAGAAAGGGCUGGCAGGGACCAGUUCUCAAUCAGCUGGCCUAAGACAAAGAUGCUCUGUACUGUACAUGUGCAACUAAAUCACUCCCAGGUUCAAAAGUCACUUAAUGGACAGAUGACUUUCCCUGCUAAACCAGGUGAGAUGAAAACCCUUUCAGGUAAAAGACAGUAUGAGAGAAAGUCUAUAGAUUUUAAAAGUACAUCAGUUCCUUGUUUAGGCCUCAGACAUCAUAAAUUCUGCAGUCUGAACUCAUCCCCAGCUUAUAGCUAUACUGCAUGAACAUGGCUACACGUAAGGAGUAACCAGAGACAUUGCAACCAGCAUGGAGCCUGGCACAGGUUAACCACCAGACACCUAACCAGCCUUUUGGAAAGGCUGUGCAGCCCACACACUGGUACUAUAUUGCUUUGAAUAGGCACCUUUCAGAUCAGCAUUAAGGAUGACUCAGAGCACAUUGUGGCGUUCCCCAGUUCUCAGCCUCAGUUCUGCUCUCACUGAAGCCAGCAGUAAGUUUGGUGAGCAUUGCAUGUGAGCCCAUGGAAGCAGGGAAGAUAACCCUUUUCAAACCCCAUACUGCUUUAUAGUUUGCAACUGCUCAGUACCCAUCUAAAGUCAAUUUUAGGGCACAAAGACAUCCCUGGGUUAUCUUUACUGGGACACCUACAUAGUAGGAAGAGCCAGGAUGGCUUUACUACAGUUGCAUGACAGUAAUAAACAAUCACAUGACAAAGUGACGCAACCUAGAGAACAAUCCCAACUGGCACAUCUACAAAUUAGAAUCUUCUUCUGCACCUGGCAAACAGCGACCUGUGGGAAGAUGGCUGCUUUUCAGCACAGGCAGGGUGUGACAGGAAGGAGAACACAGUCUUGGGAAGAUCUCUGGCAUUUGAACCAAGUGCUGUUGCCUGAAGAACUGUGAUGAGGGCACACUCCAGAGUCACAAGUUGGUGUCCACCACAGGAUAGAGAGCACUGGCUUGGAGAAAGCAGCCAUACUGGAGCAUGCAUGCUCUAGUGAGAGAGUAACCAGACCAGAUAUGUCACAGAAUGAGCUAUGUCUCAUUCUCCUUAAGACUUCAUAGUUGAGAGACACACCAACAGAAGAGGAACUGCAUGAACUAAGGACUGUGUGCUAAGCUUGGGCAUCCUUGCUGGGUGGGAUGUGCCAACCAGAAGACAUUUCCUUAUAUCAAACACUCAGUGCACCACCAUUUGGUAGAGAGAGGUCCUUUGGUAUCCAGAAACUCAGCUCUGAUUUAGCGUGUGGUACAAGAAGCCCUAUCCUUUUAAACAUCCUCAGUAACUACGGCACUUUGGGAGACACAAUAAUUAGCAUAAUUGCCAAUUCAGCCUCUAAUAACGUACAAUGCUCUCAUUAACCCAAUUAACCCCACACAGCACAACAACCAUCACAAACAAGGUAACUGAUGUGGUGGAGGGAAAUGGCCGCUUGACAGCCCUGCCACAUCCCAGCCUGCUGACAUGACACUUGCAAGGGCUGAAGGCAACUCCCAGUGGCAGGAUGCCCACCCAGCUUGGAGACGGGGCGUGCUGCCGCCUGAGCUGGUGUGUUAGCCAUGCACUCAGAUUUCUUCAGCCCUGUCUCAGGGCAAUAGAGGAGUUGCUCCUCCCACAAGGUUUUCCCUGGAAUGGGCUGGUACAUUUAAUUAAGCACUAUGUAUCAACACCCUCAUACGCACACCCCACUUCUCCACCCCCCUCUCCCUGGAAGAGUCUCAGGUGGGAUUCACUCGCCUGCUUUUGCUGCUACUUAAUUCAGUCAGGCUGGUAAAUAAUUCAGCAGGCACUCAGCCAACAAACAAACAGGCAGGCAGCACAAAUGGCCAGACUGGGAGAUGGAAGAAUGAGAGACAGAAAGAAAAACCAAAGUGACAGCCUUUGCUGGAGCUCCUUUUCUACAGGCAGGACUUCAAGCAAGGAGCCGUGCCUACUUCUUCAUUCCCUGCAGUUACACUCUCAUCCCCUAAAGAAGCGGGGAGUCUGUCUGUGACUGUCUCUGUGACUUACUGACAACUCACUGGUUGUGGCCCUGCUGAAUGUACCCCCAGCCUUUUGCUUCACUUUUAGGGAGAGCUUCAGUGCCCUGCUUAAGCUCUUCAGCUUUGAAAUCUCUCCAUGAUGGGCACCAGCAGCUCCUGGGCUAGAGAUGGGCACGUGGGCAUCUGCAUCACUGACUCAGGUCAGUUUAGGCCUCUGUUUUCCCAGUUGUAAAAGAGAAGAUGAAAAUCCUUCCCCACUGUGGACUCGGGAGGCCCAGCAAACAGGAGCAACACUAGGAGCCCAACAGUUCUGAUGAGAUGCCAGGCCUUGGCACUUCCAGUCCAGGGGCGACAGAGCAAUUUCAUCUUCACAUCAUUACAAACAGGCAAACAGACACAGGAUGUUUCGCUGACCUUCCCAACAUAAUGCAGCCCGUCAAGUGACGUGCUGAGAAGAGCUUCUCUUUUUGGCAUCUCUGUGCGCUAUUCACAUCAUUUAGGUUAUCUGCACAAGCAACCUGUGGGCCUCUCGCAUCCCCACGGGAAGCUAACUUUCCAGAAGCUGGUUGGAGAGUGGAUGCAAUAUGGUGUUAAAACAGCACCAGUGAAAAUUGGCUAGCAAAGACAACACCAACUCCUGAUUUUAGCUGGAGGACCCAAUGCAAGGCCAAGCUGUUACCCACUUCGCUAUCUUGUCUGUAGAUGAGGGAACAAUCAGGCACAGGCAGCAGAACAGAGGGAAGACCAUGCUGAUCCUCACAAGUGUCUCCCCUCUUCUCUAAACUACAACAGUUCUCUGAUUCUCCAUGAGUUUCCUAGAUUGCUUCUCUAUCGCAUCAGCAGAAAGUGAGCAGGCUGCAACCACUAACUUGCAGAGUAUCAGUUCUCAGGCAAAAGAUUCCCUACCCCCAGCCGAAUAGAAAGCUGCAACCAUUAGAGGAAUCUGCACCGAAGGGACUUGCUGCAGUGACAUUUCAUCCUGUUAGACAGUCCCAUUCAGCCUCCUAGACAUUCUGCAGGAGGGUCAGCUUUUCAGAAGGUGUCCAGGCUCAUAAAUAAAAGUCACUCACAGAAUAAAUCAGAAAUCCACAUCUACAAGCACUGAUGAUGCUUCAAUAACAUUGCUGUUUCCUGCAAGGUGUAAGGUUCUUCAAGUUCAAGGUGUACAGUGCUACCAGCCCAGAGGUUUGGAGUUUCCUCACUCCAAUGUCUGUGCUGGAGGCUGUCAAUCCUCCACCACUGGGAAAAGCUCCCUUGAAUACUGUAAGCCUGGCAAAUGAGGGGCAGAGUGGGGCUAAGAGGUACAGGAAUUAUGUUUUUCCCCAUACAUCCAUACUCUGCCCGUGGCAGUGGAGGAAGAAAGUUUAAGGGUUAGAAGUAAUACCUACAGAAUGGUCUCAACAUUGACAGAGACUAUGGCCCAUUAAUUCUGGAGCAGUCAGAGCUGCAUGGAGCCCUGGAGGGUGCUUGUGGCAGCUCCACUCAGCUCCCUCACACAUCUGCUCCAGAGGUACUUUGCAAGGAAAGGAAAGCAGUUGUACCUGUAGUAUAUUGGCCCUUUGGAACAACAGAAGCUCACACGGGACUUCAGGAAAACAUUAAAAGUAGCGUAAGUUUAGACAACAUAGUGCUGAGUGCUGGAUAUAGCUGUAUCUUAUAUCUUUGGACGUAGCAAGAAGUCUCUGCAGUAUGACACACUGCUUGGAAAGCAGCAAUUUUCUUGAAGCAAUAAGAGGCUUUCAGUGCAAAAAAAAAAAAAUUGCAAUGAAUUUUGGAAGGCUUAUCAGGAAUGAAAGUUACCUGACACUCUGCCUGGAGAAGUAACACAUGAGACAGAGCUCCUUUCUUCCCCUUGUGAUAAUCCAGUGGACACACCUGAAUACCCCUCCUGCUGUUCCAGGAACAACCUGAUACAGACACCACAUCCAUACUACAACUGGCAUUUAGGCCAUGAGCCCCCGUUUGUUUUACUUCUAUUACCUACCCAUAUCUGUUGCCUCCCCUGGUCAUUCCUCGGUCAGUUUUACACAACACUUGUGGCAGAGAGCAUUGGACUGAACUAUCACAGUGUAAAAAGGAGUUUUCCUCUUAUUUCUCCUGCCUAGAGUCCUGCCCCUCCAACCAAAGAAAGCCUAAUCAUGCAACGGGUCCUAAAAAAGAAGUGUCUAAACUGUGAAUAAAAACACGCUGUCAUUAAAAUCAGCUACAGCUUUGCAAGGUAACAAGUGUACCUGUAUUUCAAAAAGGCCCUUCAGGGUUUCUGGAGAGCUAGAGACUCAAAUGCUAUAAGCUGGUAAAUUAAUUUAGAUGUUAAUUAAAUAUAAGAAUAGUGAUAUUGCUGCUCCAUGAUAGGCUAUGAACAGAGUUUUUGUAAAACUCAUCCUUUAGAAUUCUCUGACUGCAUCAGUGGAUACAGCAAAAGACAUCUUCUCAGCAAGCACCAGAAAUACAAAUUCCAGCCUUAUGUAAAAGCUGGCUUCCACAGAAAACAUCUUCCAGCCAGAGCAAAGCUUCAGGAUGAUUCAAAGUAAACACCCCACUAUUUUGUGCACAAAACCAAACAGUAAACCAAAACAUUUGUAGUGGGGUUUUCUGUGAUGCUUAACGUUACAAUAGCGAUGAGGCUUUCAUGAAUGUUAUUUUGAAAGAGCUUUCUACAGAUGUAACAACAAAUUAGGAUAAAAUAACCAUAUUAAUAUGGCUAGUUUGUUUUCACUAGCCAUCUGAGUAUCCUAUGAAAACACCAACCUGUGAAGUUAGUAACUCAGGAAACUUCCCAUGCACUGCAAGUUUACCAAAAUAAAAUUCAAAUCUCCAAGCACUACUGGGAGUUGCAGUCUUAUCAGAAGGACCUGUCUCUCAAACUGCUGGGAUCCCUCUAGGCUACGUCUAGCGUGGGACACAAGGACAAGAGGUGUUUCAGGGUAGCUUACACACAGCGUGCUCAUUAGGUGAGUGGCCUUGCUCUGUCAUGACUCCUUGCUACAAGAUAUUUAACCGGUUUGCAUGUGAGGAUUGUUGCUGAGGUGGCAGUGGAAAGACAUGAAUUUCAAAGGAGGUACCAGAGCAUUGUACAAAAAUCUCUUAGAUUAUCAAUUCUCUGGAUCUAUCCUUGGAGCCACAUAAUUACAUGACAGUUGCCAAACUUAAGGAAACAGAAAUACCCUUUGCAAGAGCAGAAGACAUGCAGGUUGGUUUGUUAAUACGCUUCAUGUGAACAUCCUCCAAGUCUCAUUGAAAGGGAUGAAAAAAAGCAAUGGAAGGGUGACUUGAGUAGGUGUACAGACACAGUAAUUACAGCAGAAAGAAGCUUUUUCAGGCUAGGGAAUAACUAUUUCCUCUGCCAAAAAAGAGAAAUGAGUAGCAAGCAACAGCCCCUGCUCAGUGAUCAGUUGCAGGGUUGUACCUCCUAGACCCUGUGAAAUUUAAAGAGUGAGAGCCCAGAAAGACAUUCCAGGAGAGACAGAUACCUUCUGCUGGCAGGUACCAAGCCAGUCAGUUGAUCAGAAGGCAAAAUGCUCCUGGAGGUAAGGCUGUCCCUGGAGCAGCUGAGCCACCAUUACACUACAGUGGGCUGUUAAGCUCAGUGUAGCAGCAGCACCACAAGGCGUGCUUGCUGACCCCCUGUCAGGUGUUUAGUUCCCUACCACCCACAGUGACAACGGGUUAAAAGGGAAACGGGGCUACCGCUGACCAGGUCUGGAUACUGCUUUUGGGUUUGUGCCUGGACCCACUUUGGGUGAGCAAUGAAGUCACGUGAAACCUUCUUACAGCAGUUCUCAGCAGGGUCAUGCAAACCCCUUCUGGUUUUGGCAGAUUCAUAUUCCUUGAACCUCAGUCUGAGAUUGUGUUUCAAAUACACACAGGCCCUCCAAGCAUAACCACAGCCAAGAUCAGCCUGGUUGCAAGUCAAAUGUUCAGAUGGUUUCCACCCCAAAUCGUAAAUCCCACCCUGUCACCUGGAACUGAGCCCAUUUUGCUCAAACCUCAGCCUGCAUUUGGGGGAAACCUGACCCCGGUUCACUGAAAGGUUUGCAAAUCCAGCCCAUGUUCUGGGUUUGCAACAAACCCUCCAAAACAGGCAAAAUGCCCUUGGUUUUAGGGUUCAUCUGGACCUUGUUGCCAGAGUCAUGGUGUCAUCUAGUGGUGACAGCUUGUAUGGGCAUACACACAGCACCCACCUCCACUUCCAAACAACUUUCUCCCAAAGUACAUCAACUUUUUGAGAGUCAGAAGAGCCCCACCAUUUCACAGAAAGCCAUUCACAGCUCCAGGAGAUUUUUUGCAAAGUCUCCCUAAUAAAGUGAAGGGCAAGCUUUGCUUUUCCUGUCACUUCGACACAAUUAGUAGACACAAGCUCCUGGGAAAAGCACAAACCACAAUAUCUUUGAGGGACAGCAAUCAGCAGCAGGCUCAGUUGUAAACAAGUUUUAAAUUGCCAUUCUCAGCAUAAAGGUUGCAUCUGCUGAAAUACCACUUUUACUGAUAUUGUUAGCAAUAAUGCUCAAAAAUCCUAGUAACAGAUGUUAGAGGAAAAAGGACUCAAAUUUAUACUUUGAGAGCUCCCUUGCAUAAGCACAUAAAUGUGGUGAGAUCUCAAGAAAUGGCAGCUAAUUUUUGAAUUGCCAACUUACAUCCUAUUGGGUUCAAGUUCCCUUAAGAACUGAGCAGCCAAAGCAGCUCCCAAAUUCAGAGCACAGCUUUUGCAAGAAAUCAAGCUCCCUGUAUCUCACUUCAAGCAUUUCUAAAGGAAUCUGGCCCACCAUAUAUCCCAUGCGAUAGGGUUAUGACAACAU